AUUGAACGCUGGCGGCAGGCCUAACACAUGCAAGUCGAGCGAGCGGCGGACGGGUGAGUAAUGUCUGGGAAACUGCCUGAUGGAGGGGGAUAACUACUGGAAACGGUAGCUAAUACCGCAUACCCUCAGAUGUGCCCAGAUGGGAGUAGCUAGUAGGUGGGGUAACGGCUCACCUAGGCGACGAUCCCUAGCUGGUCUGCGAGGGUGACCAGCCAACCUGGAAUGGAGACACGGUCCAGACUCCUACGGGAGGCAGCAGGGGGGAAUAUUGCACAAUGGGCGCAAGCCUGAUGCAGCCAUGCCGCGUGUGUGAAGAAGGCCGUCGGGUUGUAAAGCACUUUCAGCGGGGAGGCGUUACCCGCAGAAGAAGCACCGGCUAACUCCGUGCCAGCAGCCGCGGUAAUUC
rnacentral:rRNA from 1 species